UUGGACGGGGCCCGCACAAGCGGCGGAGCAUGCGGAUUAAUUCGAUGCAACGCGAAGAACCUUACCAAGGCUUGACAUACACCGGUAACGCCCAGAGAUGGGUGCCCCUUUGUGGUCGGUGUACAGGUGGUGCAUGGUUGUCGUCAGCUCGUGUCGUGAGAUGUUGGGUUAAGUCCCGCAACGAGCGCAACCCUCGUCCUAUGUUGCCAGCGGGUCAUGCCGGGGACUCAUGGGAGACUGCCGGGGUCAACUCGGAGGAAGUGGGGAUGACGUCAAAUCAUCAUGCCCCUUAUGUCUUGGGCUUCACGCAUGCUACAAUGGCCGGUACAAAGGGCUGCGAUACCGCGAGGUGGAGCGAAUCCCAGAAAGCCGGUCUCAGUUCGGAUUGGGGUCUGCAACUCGACCCCAUGAAGUCGGAGUCGCUAGUAAUCGCAGAUCAGCAACGCUCGCGGUCGAAUACGUUCCGGGCCUU
rnacentral:rRNA from 1 species